rnacentral:rRNA from 1 species
AAGGACCAACCCAUAAACCUUUUUGUAAUGGCAAUCAGCGUCAGUAACAAAUGUAAUAAUUUACAACUUUCAACAACGGAUCUCUUGGUUCUGGCAUCGAUGAAGAACGCAGCGAAAUGCGAUAAGUAGUGUGAAUUGCAGAAUUCAGUGAAUCAUCGAAUCUUUGAACGCACAUUGCGCCCUUUGGUAUUCCAAAGGGCAUGCCUGUUCGAGCGUCAUUUGUACCCUCAAGCUUUGCUUGGUGUUGGGCGUCUUUUUGUCUCCCCUUGCGGGAGACUCGCCUUAAAGUCAUUGGCAGCCGGCCUACUGGUUUCGGAGCGCAGCACAAGUCGCGCUCUCUUCCAGCCCCAAGGUCUAGCAUCCACCAAGCCUUUUUUAUUCAACUUUGACCUCGGAUCAGGUAGGGAACCC